CAUAGUUGGCAAAAAGUACCUCUGCUUUAGCCACAUUGUCAACUUUAGUACCACUACUGAACAUGUUUGUAAAAGAAGGUGUUGAAUUGAUAGAGUUGUGGGCUUUCUGGUGGGUAGCUGUCUCCAUAUUUUUGGUCAAGUAAUUAGGGCCCCAUAGUCAGCUUUGCAUGAAGUGUAGUAAGCAUUGUCUUGACCCUUGGCACUGGACUUGCACCAUUUUUAAAUUUGGCUAGAUACUGUGUCUUCUUUAAUAUUAUGGGGUACAUGUAUUUGGUGAUAACAUGAUACAGUUUGUAUUUUGUCAAAUUAUAAGACAAACACACUUAUAUAGGUAUUCCAUUGGCCUAGAUAGAAGACAAGACAUAAAUAUCAUAUUUGAGUUGAUUUUAUUGUCUUUGAGGUUCAGUAUAAACUAAAUCUGUUCCAUGUUUUCAACAGCAUCAAAAUUUAU
rnacentral:lncRNA from 1 species